GACAGCUUUUAGUCGAUCGCUUUAAGCAAGACCAUAUUCCCCCGAGGAAAACCACAGUGCUCCGAUUACCAUGUUCAAGUUAACCCUACUUCUGCUUCUCUGCACGGCAAUAAUCAGCGUGCGUACGCUGGACCUUUUCAAUGACUGCGUGUGGGACGCGGACAAGAUAAAGGAGCCGUACAGAUGUAUGUUUAUACCACUGGAGGAGGUAUACGCAUACAUUCCGUACUACAUAAGGCUAGCCUGAGGCCGUACUGCAGCAACACGCAAACCAGCUGAAGCCCGAAGUACCUCAACACUUUCUACAACGUGACACGAGUCGCAGUCAAGAAUCGAGGCCAGCUGCAGGUAGGAGCCACCCUUCUCAUGGAGUUUAUGACAACCCAGAGUACCUGCUUUCGUCAAUGCCACUUCUCUGUUUUCAUGUGCCCGCCAAACGACAACAAGGUGAAUGGGGUGUGCAGGGCAUCGUUCUACCUGCGUAGUGGCGUCUUCAUUGUCGAACAAUCUUGGUGUCAUCCCAUGGGAAGCGCUAAGCGGCCUUCGAAGCCGGAAUCCUCGUCUGUGACCCCCUGAAGCGCACCUGCGCCAGGCGAGAGAGCCACAGACAUUGAUAUGCAAUAAAGUGUGAAACACGCA